rnacentral:snoRNA from 1 species
UUCUAUGAUGAAACAUCACCUUUUUUUAUUAUUAUUUUCUGGUACCUCUUAUGUCAGGGUUAGAUCCUCGUGGUCGAGCCCAAUGAUCUAAAUGGACUUCUGAUU